rnacentral:rRNA from 1 species
CAGCAGCCACGGGAAUACGUAGGGUGCAAGCGUUAAUCGGAAUUACUGGGCGUAAAGCGUGCGCAGGCGGUUUGUUAAGACAGAUGUGAAAUCCCCGGGCUCAACCUGGGAACUGCAUUUGUGACUGGCAAGCUAGAGUCUGGCAGAGGGGGGUGGAAUUCCGCGUGUAGCAGUGAAAUGCGUAGAUAUGCGGAGGAACACCGAUGGCGAAGGCAGCCCCCUGGGCCAACACUGACGCUCAUGCACGAAAGCGUGGGGAGCAAACAGGAUUAGAUACCCCAGUAGUCCCUGUCUCUUAUAC